GCUGGGUGUGGUGGCGUGCACCUGUAAUCCAGCUACUCAGGAGGCUGAGGCAGGAGAAUUGCUUGAACCCAGGAGGUGGAGGUUGCAGUGAGCUGAGAUCGUGCCACUGCACUCCAGCCUGGGUGACAGAGCAAGACUCUGUCUCAA
ensembl:misc_RNA Metazoa_SRP Metazoan signal recognition particle RNA